UCGACCUGAACUGUGCUUUAUUGCCCAACAAAAAUGAAGUUUUUACGGAUUUCAGAAGGAUUACGGAAGACACAACUACCACAAAAGCGUGAUGGUUAUAGCUACAGAUGUCAUCGGACAGAUAAAGUCUACGCCCCAAAGUAGAUGCUUGAUGAUGCACAUGAAGUCCUGCAUAAAGAUUCAAAGAUGUCUUCUCAGUCAAAAGAUCAAGUAAUUCAGACUUAGAGUGUCAGAUCUUUGUUCAGUGGCUGACCAUCAAACAGUCAGUGGAGGUGUAAGCUUGAUCUGUGAAGGAUGAAGCAUUUGGACAACUUUACCAACUUCAAAGGGUAAAACACCAAAGUUAAUAUUCUUUAUCCCUGAUGCAAAUGUAAACAUCUAUUUUAUCGUUGUUGUACCUGCUGCCAAACAUAGGAUUCGAACUACAUUACAUCUUGAUACAGAGCAAUCUCGGUAGUCUAA